rnacentral:misc_RNA from 1 species
GGAAGUAAAAGUCAUAACAAGGUUUCCGUAGGUGUACCUGCGGAAGGAUCAUUAUCAUGUAAUUCAGUCCCCUUGGCUGUGUUAUAUAUAUACCCACUCUGUGUACCUUCUCCUGUUGCUUCCGCUGGGUGUGUAAUUCGCCCGGCGGAAGGGUAAAAAUAACCUCUGAGUAUUGAUGAAAUCUCUGUCUGAACCGAAUAGAAAGAAAAAUGUUAAAACUUUCAGCAACGGAUCUCUUGGUUCUC